rnacentral:rRNA from 1 species
CUACGGGGUGCUGCAGUGAGGAAUAUUGCACAAUGGGGGGAACCCUGAUGCAGCAACGCCGCGUGGAGGAUGACGCAUUUCGGUGUGUAAACUCCUUUUAUAUGUCAAGAAAAUGACGGUAGCAUAUGAAUAAGCACCGGCUAACUCCGUACCAGCGAGCCGCGGUAAUACGGAGGGUGCAAGCGUUACUCGGAAUCACUGGGCGUAAAGGACGCGUAGGCGGGUUGGAAAGUCAGGUGUGAAAUCCUACAGCUUAACUGUAGAACUGCACUUGAAACUUCUAAUCUAGAGUAUGGGAGGGGGAGAUGGAAUUAGUGGUGUAGGGGUAAAAUCCGUAGAUAUCACUAGGAAUACCUAAAGCGAAGGCGAUCUCCUGGAACAUUACUGACGCUAAGGCGUGAAAGCGUGGGGAGCAAACAGGAUUAGAUACCCUCGUAGUC